rnacentral:ncRNA from 6 species
CCGUAGGUGAACCUGCGGAAGGAUCA